rnacentral:rRNA from 1 species
UACGAAGGGGGCUAGCGUUGUUCGGAAUCACUGGGCGUAAAGGGCGCGUAGGCGGCUUUGUAAGUCGGGGGUGAAAGCCUGUGGCUCAACCACAGAAUUGCCUUCGAUACUGCAUGGCUUGAGACCGGAAGAGGUAAGUGGAACUGCGAGUGUAGAGGUGAAAUUCGUAGAUAUUCGCAAGAACACCAGUGGCGAAGGCGGCUUACUGGUCCGGUUCUGACGCUGAGGCGCGAAAGCCAGGGGGAGCAAACGGG